CCUACGGGAGGCAGCAGUGGGGAAUUUUGGACAAUGGGCGCAAGCCUGAUACAGCAAUGCCGCGUGCAGGAAGAAGGCCUUCGGGUUGUAAACUGCUUUUGUACGGAACGAAAAGGCUCUGGUUAAUACCUGGGGCACAUGACGGUACCGUAAGAAUAAGCACCGGCUAACUACGUGCCAGCAGCCGCGGUAAU
rnacentral:rRNA from 1 species